GGCCCUAUCGUCUAGCGGUUGAGGACACCACCCUCUCAAGGUGGANNGUUCGAGUCCCGUUAGGGCUACCA
rnacentral:tRNA from 1 species